rnacentral:rRNA from 1 species
CUUCCGUUAGUGAACCUGCGGAGGGAUCAUUA